UACGGAGGGUGCAAGCGUUGUUCGGAAUUAUUGGGCGUAAAGCGCGUGUAGGCGGUUGUGCAAGUCCGAUGUGAAAUCCCCCGGCUUAACCGGGGAAGUGCAUUUGAAACUGCACGACUAGAGUACGGGAGAGGAGAGUGGAAUUCCCGGUGUAGAGGUGAAAUUCGUAGAUAUCGGGAGGAACACCAGUGGCGAAGGCGGCUCUCUGGCCUAAUACUGACGCUGAGACGCGAAAGCGUGGGGAGCAAACAGG
rnacentral:rRNA from 1 species